rnacentral:rRNA from 1 species
GAGCGAAAGCGUUAAGUAAUCCACCUGGGGAGUACGCCGGCAACGGUGAAACUCAAAGGAAUUGACGGGGCCCGCACAAGCGGAGGAACAUGUGGUUUAAUUCGAUGAUACGCGAGGAACCUUACCCGGGAUUGAAAUGUACCUGACGGGCCGUGAGAGCGGCCUUUCGCAAGACAGGUAUGUAGGUGCUGCAUGGUUGUCGUCAGCUCGUGCCGUGAGGUGUCGGGUUAAGUCCCGCAACGAGCGCAACCCUUGUCCUUAGUUGCUACGCAAGGGCACUCUAAGGAGACUGCCGGUGACAAACCGGAGGAAGGUGGGGACGACGUCAAGUCCUCAUGGCCCUUAUGGGUAGGGCUUCACACGUCAUACAAUGGCCGGUACAGAGGGUUGCCAACCCGCGAGGGGGAGCCAAUCCCAGAAAGCCGGUCGUAGUCCGGAUUGCAGUCUGCAACUCGACUGCAUGAAGUCGGAAUCGCUAGUAAUCGCGGAUCAGCAUGUCGCGGUGAAUACGUUCCCGGGUCUUGUACACACCGCCCGUCACACCAUGGGAGUGGGUUUUACCAGAAGCAGGUAGCCUAACCGUAAGGAGGGCGCCUACCACGGUAGGAUUCAUGACUGGGGUGAAGUCGUAACAAGGUAACCGUA